rnacentral:rRNA from 1 species
CGCGCCGUAGCUAACGCUUUAAGUACCCCGCCUGGGGAGUACGGCCGCAAGGCUAAAACUCAAAGGAAUUGACGGGGCCCCGCACAAGCGGCGGAGCAUGCGGAUUAAUUCGAUGCAACGCGUAGAACCUUACCUGGGUUUGACAUGGAUCGGGAGUGCUCAGAGAUGGGUGUGCCUCUUUUGGGGUCGGUUCACAGGUGGUGCAUGGCUGUCGUCAGCUCGUGUCGUGAGAUGUUGGGUUAAGUCCCGCAACGAGCGCAACCCUUGUUCACUGUUGCCAGCACGUUAUGGUGGGGACUCAGUGGAGACCGCCGGGGUCAACUCGGAGGAAGGUGGGGAUGACGUCAAGUCAUCAUGCCCCUUAUGUCCAGGGCUUCACGCAUGCUACAAUGGCUGGUACAGAGAGUGGCGAGCCUGUGAGGGUGAGCGAAUCUCGGAAAGCCGGUCUCAGUUCGGAUUGGGGUCUGCAACUCGACCUCAUGAAGUCGGAGUCGCUAGUAAUCGCAGAUCAGCAACGCUGCGGUGAAUACGUUCCCGGGGCUUGUACACACCGCCCGUCAAGUCAUGAAAGUUGGUAACACCCGAAGCCGGUGGCCUAACCGUUGUGGGGGAGCCGUCGAAGGUGGGACUGGUGAUUAGGACUAAGUCGUAACAAGGUAGCCGUACCGGAAGGUGCGGCUGGAUCACCUCCUU